GAGCACAUCACGUUGAAACACCGGUUCUCGUACGAUCACCGAAGUUAAGCAACGUUGAUCCUGGUCAGUUCUUAUAUGGUUGGCCGCUUGGGAAUACCAGGUGCU